AAAAAGUUAUCAUUGAAAACACUUAAAAACUACUGCUUAAAACUAAAAUAUUAUUACAUAAAUAAACAUAUACUAAUUAAUUUAACAAAACAUAUCUAUUUACAAAAUAAUUCCGUUAAUAUUGUACGACUUUAAUAAUUAUCACAUUGCGUAGGUAGCCGUACCUACAUUCCACAGCCGAGCCGUUACUCUUCCGGUCGGAUGUUCGACACAAUCCUUCUGCCUUUGUAGCGAGAACACCUCGAUUACUCGUAUAUUUUUUAAAUACGUUUUUUUACUAAUUUUGUCUACGAUAUAAUAAUUUAUAGUGUUGUGUUAUCCCCAUUAAUUGGGGUUCACCCUUCGAGUUCAGCAACCGCAGGACCCACUACCGGUCCUGUACUUACCUGCACCGUUUCACCCUUCGAGUUCAGCAACCGCUGGACCCACUACCGGUCCUGUACUUACCUGCACCGUUUCACCCUUCGAGUUCAGCAACCGCUGGACCCACUACCGGUCCUGUACUUACCUGCACCGUUUCACCUUUCGGGUUCUACAACCCGCUGGAUCCACUUUCGGUCCUAUACUUACCCCACCGCUUCUGCUGCCCUGCUGCGCGCGCCGGUGUACCCCGUGUCGUCGUGGGAAGAGUUACAGGGAAGUGGUAGUUUUCCUACUGCACCAAGGGUGCUCAGCCAGUAUCAAAUUACCUGCGACCCAGAGAUCCGAUCUAUGUACUUGCUAGGGAUUUAAUGUCAAUAAACUUGGUUUUAUUUCUAUAUACCGUUUUAUUUACCCUAGUAAGUACAACCUAUUUGAUUCGCGUGAUAAGAACGUGACAAUGGCGCCCAACUAAGGAAAUACUGAGCUGAGUAUCCUUUUUGCUGGUUUUGGCAUUUUUGGUCAUCUUUGGUGUUGGUCUGAUUAUUUUGUCUAGCUCUAAGUGAAUUGUAACUGCAACUUUUGUGUGCUGUGGUUGCUUUGUGGGAAUACCUUACUAUUUCUCUUUCAAGGUGAUUGCAUACAAUUAAAAACUCAAAAUCGAACCUACCACAUCGCACAGAAGGAAAUCUUUGAUUUUGCACUGCCAACCUCUGUCUAUCCCUGUGUUUUAAUUGUUGUGUACUUUUGAUAGUAGCAUUUGUUUUCUUGUUAUUUUCCUUCUGCCGUUUGUUGUGUUUUAGUUAUUAAGACUUCAGGUACUUGCAACACUUACUCAAAAAAUAAUUAUUCAAUUAAACUAAUUACAAUUAAAACAUAAAGUAAUAGAGAUGUCUCGUCCAAUCAAAUAUUUAUCACUUCAGAAAGAUGAACUCCUUUAUGAAGAGGUACAUGGCAUGUCAAGGAUAUUAAACUUACAAACUAUUCUAAAUAAUUAUAUCUAAACUUUUACCUAACUAAAAUAAAACUUUCUAUAUUUACAAAACUUCCUUGCUGGGAUGGAAGUGAGAGAAAAACAUAGAAUCCCCCAGCUGCUUACUAAUUCUCGAGCAGACUGUAAGAGUCAGUCAAGAGAUUGAUGUGUAAUACCAUCUAACGCCUUAGGCCUGCCAAAAACUUAAAUCUUGAGCAUGGCAUGCGUCUUCUAAUAUCUUCUAAUAUUCUCUAAAAAUACCUUAAAUACUACUUUAUAAAAAAAAAAAAAACAAAAAACAAAAACUACACUUACUAAAACUACCAAAACUCAUACUAAAAAAUCCAAAACUAGCCUAAAACAAUGUCUUACUUACUAAAACUACCUACCGUCUUAAAUAUAUUUACUUAUAUAUAGUAUUUCUAAUUUUUCUUUUUUACAAAAAAAAAAUAUUGAAUCUCCAGGCCCUACCCCUAGGACAUUCUAAUUAUUUUAUCUUCGGCCCUACCCCGAAGAUAAGAAAAUUAUACUAUAAAAAGAAAAAAACGGUUACCUUAAAUCUCCUAUUGAUUACGUGUGAGUACUAAGCUGCGGUUAAAAGUCUAGUACUCUUUUUGGAAAGGACGCAGUCACUUAAAACUAAAUAAGAUAACUGUUUGUGUGUGAAAGGGAUGAAAGAAAGUAGGGGGGUGAAUGGAAGGGUUGAAAUGAAUGUGUACCACGUAAUUUUUAGAAUGGUCAAUAGUAAGAAGGACAGACUAGGUUACAUUUUAGUCAGCGGAUUUUCUUAGCGAAAAUCCUACCCAAAAAAGGGGGGUAUGUAACGCCUGCCGCGUUUUACUACUGAGUGUAAUUGCUCUUGUUUUUCUGUUAGGAACUAUCAAAAAGUUAUCAUUGAAAACACUUAAAAACUACUGCUUAAAACUAAAAUAUUAUUACAUAAAUAAACAUAUACUAAUUAAUUUAACAAAACAUAUCUAUUUACAAAAUAAUUCCGUUAAUAUUGUACGACUUUAAUAAUUAUCACAUUGCGUAGGUAGCCGUACCUACAUUCCACAGCCGAGCCGUUACUCUUCCGGUCGGAUGUUCGACACAAUCCUUCUGCCUUUGUAGCGAGAACACCUCGAUUACUCGUAUAUUUUUUAAAUACGUUUUUUUACUAAUUUUGUCUACGAUAUAAUAAUUUAUAGUGUUGUGUUAUCCCCAUUAAUUGGGGUUCACCCUUCGAGUUCAGCAACCGCAGGACCCACUACCGGUCCUGUACUUACCUGCACCGUUUCACCCUUCGAGUUCAGCAACCGCUGGACCCACUACCGGUCCUGUACUUACCUGCACCGUUUCACCCUUCGAGUUCAGCAACCGCUGGACCCACUACCGGUCCUGUACUUACCUGCACCGUUUCACCUUUCGGGUUCUACAACCCGCUGGAUCCACUUUCGGUCCUAUACUUACCCCACCGCUUCUGCUGCCCUGCUGCGCGCGCCGGUGUACCCC
rnacentral:lncRNA from 1 species